UCAUAUGCUUGUCUAAAAGAUUAAGCCAUGCAAGUGCGAGUGAUUCGGUGCAUCCAUCAGUAAAAUGAGGGAAGGCGCUCAGGAUGACUGCGAAAGGCUCAUUAAAACAGUUAUUGGAUCUGGAUGGUCAGAAGAAGACAAGAAGGAUAAGGGUGUGAAAUUGUUAUCCGCUCGAGGGAGGGGGAUCUCGAUCAAAGAGUGGAUUCAUUUUCACUUGAAUGAAGAAGGGAUUUCUAGAAUUUCAUAGAGAUAUGAGAGGGAGCAUGUGAAUAUUUGACCUAUCAACUGGGGAUGGUAGUAUAGGGGACUACGAUGGUGGUGACGGGUGACGGAGGAUCAGGGUUUGGUACCGGAGAGGGGGCCUGAGAGAUGGCCACCACUUCUAAGGAAGGCAGCAGGCGCGAAAAUUACCCAAUGUUGGAACAGUGAGGUAGUGACAAGGAAUAACUGUGAAGUGGCUUUAUUGGUCAUUUGAUGGUAAUGGAAGGAGGAUAGAGAGGUUCUUGAGUAACGAUCAGAGGGAAAGUCUGGUGCCAGCAGCCGCGGUAAUUCCAGCUCUGAAAGCGUAUACUAGAGUUGUUGCGGUUAAAAAGCUCGUAGUUGGGAGAAGGAGACAUUGAGAAAAAUAGAGUGUUUAAGGGUGAAGUGGGAGAGCACAGGACGUCCUGAGGAGAGAGUUGAGUCAAAUCAGCACUUUCCAGGGAGAGAAUAGAAACAAUAGAGGAUAUUAGUAUUUUAUAGUUAGAGGUGAAAUUCUAUGAUUUAUGAAAGACUAACAGGGGCGAAAGCAUUUAUCUCUUGUAUGUUUAUUGAUAAAGAACGAAAGUUAGGGGAUCAAAGAUGAUUAGAUACCGUCGUAGUCCUAGACUAUAAACAAUACUAACUAUGGAUUUGGGGGGCCGAGAUCGAUUCAUUAAUCAAUCAAAGGGCGCGUGAGGACAUUGCGAGAAAUCAUUGAGUAUUUGAGUUCCGGGGGGAGUAUGGUUGCAAGACUGAAACUUAAAGGAAUUGACGGAGGGGCACCACAAGGCGUGGAGCUUGCGGCUUAAUUUGACUCAACACGGAGAAACUUACCAGACCAAGACAUCAUUGAGGAUUGACAGACGAGGAGGUUUUUCGAGAUAGGAUGGGAGGUGGUGCAUGGCCGUUCUUAGUUGGUGGAGUGAUUUGUCAGGUUAAUUCCGAUAACGAACGAGAUUUUAGUGGAAGAGACGUCCAUUGUCUUCAGCAAUGAAGGUGGGGAUGGUUAUUUCAGAUGGAUAGGAAAAUAAACUAUAGGAAGAUUAAAGUGAUAACAGGUCUGUGAUGCCCUUAGAUGGUUUGGGCUGCACGCGUGCUACAAUGAUAGAGACAGAGAUCCACUCUCCCUCCACAAAGAGGAAGAGAUUGACGCAUCGAAGGAUGGGUUGAAAGGAUGGAGAAUCUAUCAUGUUAGGGGAUUAACGAUUGGAAUUAUUCGUUAUGAACACGGAAUGCCUAGUAAGUAUAAGUCAACAGGUUAUAUUGAUUAGGUCCCUGCCUCUUGUACACACCGCCCGUCGCUGCUACCGAUUGAAUAGUAAAUGUGAAAUGGGAGGACUGGCCACUCUUGUUUAUUCAGGAGAGGAAAGGAAAACUAUUGAAUGUUUAUAUUUAGAGGAAGCAAAAGUCGUAACAAGGUUUCC
rnacentral:rRNA from 1 species